UCCCUGGUGGCUUAGACGGUAAAGAAUCUGCCCGCCAUGCAGGAGAUGCAGGUUUGAUCCCUGCGUGGGGAA
rnacentral:tRNA from 1 species